GGGUGAGUGGUCCAAUGGUGAGAUACCGCCCAGGCGACUGGUCCGUCCUGCGCGCUGCCUGAAGAUGAUACAGGCUCGAUAACAAGCCAUAGUGCUACUCGGCGGUGGUGCUGGUUCAAGUCCGGCCUCAUCCA